GACGGAGGAUGCAAGCGUUAUCCGGAAUGAUUGGGCGUAAAGCGUCCGCAGGUGGCAGUUCAAGUCUGCUGCCAAAGACCGGGGCUUAACUUCGGAAAGGCAGUGGAAACUGAACAGCUAGAGUAUGGUAGGGGCAGAGGGAAUUCCUGGUGUAGCGGUGAAAUGCGUAGAGAUCAGGAAGAACAUCGGUGGCGAAGGCGCUCUGCUGGACCAUAACUGACGCUGAGGCGCGAAAGCUAGGGGAGCAAACGGG
rnacentral:rRNA from 1 species